UACGGAGGGGCUAGCGUUGUUCGGAAUUACUGGGCGUAAAGCGCACGUAGGCGGCUUUGUAAGUUAAGAGGUCGAAAGCCUGAUGCUCAACAAUCGAGAAUUGCCUUUAAGACUGCAUCGGCUUGAACGUCGGAGAGGUGAGUGGAAGUUCCGAAGUGUAGAGGUGAAAUUCGUAGAUAUUCGGAAGAACACCAGUGGCGAAGGCGGCUCAUGGACGACUGUUGACGCUGAGGUGCGAAAGCGUGGGGAGCAAACAGG
rnacentral:rRNA from 1 species